CCUACGGGAGGCAGCAGUGGGGAAUAUUGCGCAAUGGGCGAAAGCCUGACGCAGCGACGCCGCGUGAGGGAUGAAGGUCUUCGGAUCGUAAACCUCUGUCAGCAGGGAAGAACGGUCACUGUGCUAAGCAGCAGUGAAUUGACGGUACCUGCAAAGGAAGCACCGGCUAACUCCGUGCCAGCAGCCGCGGUAAUCCGGAGGGUGCGAGCGUUAAUCGGAAUUACUGGGCGUACAGCGCUCGUAGGCGGUAUGGCAAGUCAAAGGUGAAAUCCCCGCGCUCAACGUGGGAACUGCCUUUGAAACUGGCACACUGGAUUGUGUGAGAGGAUAGUGGAUUUCCAGGUGUAGGCGU
rnacentral:rRNA from 1 species